CUGGCCGCCCCUGAAGUGCAACAAUCGGAUGGUCUCCAGCUGCGACAAAGACCCUCCUGUUACUGGGCAGGACGCGCCAUCCGUAGGGGCUGAUAUGGCAGAGAGUCUCCUUCUCAUGGUGUAGAAAUCCCCAAGUGCCUCCUCCUUCUCCCUGUUCUCACUGCCAGGUCAAACCUUUCUGGAGAGCUGGUCUUCAGGAGCAAGGGUAGUGGGAGUCUGGAGCAAGUUUCCCAGCCAUGCUGUCAAAACUGAUAGCCUGUCUUCAUGAAUUGGGCGACUGAACAAAUGAAGUAAAUGGGACAAAUGACUUCUCUCAUUGUUAAAGGUCAAGAUGUAGGACACAACCCUCCCUGUGCUUGCUGAACAAAACCCAGACAAGAUACUGAUGUAGACGUAGGUAUGAUCCCAAGGCACUGAAUCUGUGAGGAC